GAUGAACGCUGGCGGCGUGCCUAAUACAUGCAAGUCGAGCGAACGGACGAGAAGCUUGCUUUUCUGAUGUUAGCGGCGGACGGGUGAGUAACACGUGGAUAACCUACCUAUAAGACUGGGAUAACUUCGGGAAACCGGAGCUAAUACCGGAUAAUAUUUUGAACCGCAUGGUUCAAAAGUGAAAGACGGUCUUGCUGUCACUUAUAGAUGGAUCCGCGCUGCAUUGGCUAGUUGGUAAGGUAACGGCUUACCAAGGCAACGAUGCAUAGCCGACCUGAGAGGGUGAUCGGCCACACUGGAACUGAGACACGGUCCAGACUCCUACGGGAGGCAGCAGUAGGGAAUCUUCCGCAAUGGGCGAAAGCCUGACGGAGCAACGCCGCGUGAGUGAUGAAGGUCUUCGGAUCGUAAAACUCUGUUAUUAGGGAAGAACAUAUGUGUAAGUAACUGUGCACAUCUUGACGGUACCUAAUCAGAAAGCCGCGGCUAACUACGUG
rnacentral:rRNA from 1 species